AUACUUACUUGGCAGGAGAGGUACCAUGACCAUGAAGGUGGUUUUCCCAGGGCGAGGCUAUCCGUUGCACUCUGGAUGAGCAGACCCCUACGAUUUCCCCCAAAUGUGGGAAACUCAAUUGCAUAAUUUGUGGUAGUGGGGGACUGCAAUGGCGGUCCCUCC
ensembl:snRNA U1 U1 spliceosomal RNA